UUCCAUCACAUGUUGUUGAUCCCAAAAGAGAUUAUCUCCUGUAGUGAUUUGGUCCAUAAAUCCAUUGUAAAGUGCUUAUUUGUUUUGUUCUUAGUUGACUUGAAAAACCAGAAAUCACUUAUUUCCAAAACGUGCUUAUAGGCAAAACUGCAGUCUGUCUGCUAAGAAUGUUCUCAGAAUGGUCUUGAAACAGCUUUGCAGGAUUUUUACUUUGCAAGUGGUUUGUUAGAAUCUAUUUAAUCUUA
rnacentral:lncRNA from 1 species